GGCUAAAACUAAAGCAGUAAGCUUGAAACUCAAAUUCGAUCAUCGACUAAACAGUAAGCGUGAAACUCUCUCCCUUUUCUAUGUAUCGAAAACCUUAGUUCUUCACUAAAUUCAUGUCCCUUCCUUUCUCCAAAUCCUCCGGCCAUGUCGGCUUCUUCUAUAAUGGAGUCACUGUUCCAGCGCUCCUUAGACGAUCUAAUCAAAGGCAUCCGUCUCCAAUUGAUCGGAGAAUCGAAGUUCAUUACUAAAGCCAUGGAAGAGAUACGGCGAGAGAUCAAAACCACUGACUCCCAGACCAAGGCGGUCGCUCUUGAGAAACUCACAUAUCUAAAUUCCAUCCAUGGCAUCGACAUGUCGUGGGCAGCCUUCCAUGUCGUAGAAGUCAUGAGCUCGUCCCGUUUCGCCCACAAAAAGAUCGGAUACCUCGCUGCCUCACAAUCCUUCAACGAGGGCACCGAUGUUAUCCUCCUCAUCACCAAUCAGCUCCGAAAAGACCUCACCAGCACCAAUGAAUUCGAAGUAGGUCUUGCACUCGAAUGCUUAUCUGUUAUUGCCACAACCGAUCUUGCUAGAGACUUGACACCAGAGAUCUUUACAUUGCUUUCUAGUAGCAAAACUUUUGUUAGAAAAAAGGCUGUUGCUGUAAUUCUGAGAAUUUUUGUUAAGUACCCAGAUGCUGUAAAGGUAUCUUUUAAGCGUUUGGUUGAGAAUUUGGAGAAUUCAGAUCCUCAUGUGAUGUCUGCGGCAGUUGGAGUCUUUUGUGAGCUAGCCUCAAAGGACCCGGACCCCAGGUUGUAUCUCCCGCUAGCGCCAGAAUUUUAUAGGAUUUUGGUUGAUUGUAAGAACAAUUGGAUAUUAAUUAAGGUGCUUAAGAUUUUCGCAAAACUGUUACCAUUGGAGCCAAGGUUGGCAAAGAGGGUUGUUGAUCCAAUAUGCGAGCACAUGAGAAGAACUGGGGCUAAAUCACUAAUGUUCGAGUGCAUUCGAACUGUGGUCACUACUUUGACUGACUAUGAAUCUGCAGUGAAGCUCGCAGUUGAGAAGAUUCGGGAAUUGUUGGUUGAUGAUGAUCCAAAUCUUAAGUAUCUUGGGUUGCAGGCGCUUUCCAUUCUUGGGGCUAAGCAUUUAUGGCCAGUGUUGGAAAACAAGGAUGUUGUGAUAAACUCUCUGAGUGAUGCGGAUCCAAAUAUUAAACUCGAGGCUCUGCAUCUUGUGAUGGGUAUGGUGUCUGAGACCAAUGUUGCUGAGAUCUCCCGAGUUUUGGUUAACUAUGCACUUAAGUCUGAACCACAGUUUUGCAAUGAGAUUUUAGGAUCUAUCCUGUCAACCUGUGGUAGAAAUUUUUAUGAAAUUGUUGUUGAUUUUGAUUGGUAUGUUUCGCUUCUCGGGGAAAUGUCAAGGAACCCACAUUGCCAAAAAGGUGAAGAGAUUGAGAGUCAAUUUGUUGAUAUUGGUCUAAGGGUUAAGGAUGCCAGACCGGAGCUUGUUCGUGUUGCUCGUGAUCUUCUGAUUGAUCCUGCCUUGCUUGGUAAUCCAUUCUUGCAUAGGAUAUUGGCUGCUUCUGCUUGGGUGUCUGGAGAGUAUGUUGAGUUCUCAAAAAACCCAUUUGAACUUAUGGAAGCACUGCUGCAGCCACGCACUAGUCUUUUGCCGCCAUUAAUAAGAGCUGUUUAUAUACACUCUGCAUUUAAAGUUCUGGUAUUUUGUCUUCAUUCUUAUCUUGUGCAGAGGGAAGUAAUUCAUCCAUCGUCUGUUGAUGAUUUGGCAACAGGAAUGCCUGAUUUGGGUUUUGGCAUAAAAUGCGUGGAAGUUUCUGAUAUUGCAAAAUGCCAAUCUGCUGCUGAUUGUGGACAUGAUGAUGAAUUCAACCCAAGGGUUUCAGACAUAUCAGUGGAAGAUUCCACUAUGGAAACUACGAGGGAUAUAACUGUUCAUGAGGCAUCUUCAUCAGUUUCUUUACAGAAGGAACCUUUUACUCAUGAAUCUAUUCUUAAUCUGUUAAAUCUGGUCAAAAUGGCUUUAGGUCCACACUCAGGAACUGAUGAGGUAGAAGUGCAAGACAGGGCACAAAAUGUACUUGGCUUUAUUAAGAUGAUAGAACAAGAGUUACAUGGUCUUUUGGGUGAAGAGAAAGGGAAUUUUGAGAUUGGAGAACAUAAAGUCCCCAAAAUUAUUGAACUGAUGUACAAUGCCUUCUCCAAGGAGCUGGGCCCAGUCUCAGUGAGUGCUCAGGAAAGAGUUCCAAUUCCUGAUGGGCUUAUGCUGAAAGAAGAUCUUUCUGACUUGGACAAUAUGUGUGCAGAUGUUCUUAAACCUCCAUCAAGUUCUUUCACUACUGGAAAUCCUCAGUUUGGAGAGAGAGAAGGUGAUUCCUUUUUUAACCUGCAUGGAAAGGAACCAGAACCAUCAACUGAGUCAACAUUGUUGCUUGCGCAACAUCGGAAACAGCAUGGAUUAUAUUAUCUCCCUUCAGAUAAGAACGAAACUGUAUCCAAUGAUUAUCCACCUGCAAAUGAACCCCCAUUGUUGUCUAAUCUUGUUGAUGGUACUCAAGAUCUUAUGAAGCUUACAGAGCAAUCAUUAGCAUCAAAAAAGAAGUCGAACCAUGCAAAGCCACGGCCUGUGGUGGUAAAGUUGGAUGAGGGAGAUGAAUUGCCUGUUUCAGCCACAAAACUAACAAAAGAGUCAAAAGAUGAUUCACUCUCAGGUGCUCUUCGAGACAUUCUUCUAGGUGAUAAGGUGAAUCCCAUGUCAUCCCAAAGACAACCCUCUGAUAAAUCAUCUGGGAAGAGAGAGAAAGAAGCUUUAGUUGAUAGUGGAUAUGCUUCCAGGUCAAAGCAAAAUCUUGGUGAUGCACAACCUAGCCAUGGAAGCUCAAGUUCUAGAAGGAGCAAGCAUCGUAGUCAUGGUAAAGAGAAACAGAGAAGUCCUAGAAGGAAUAAUGAGGGUAAAGAAGAUACUCAAAAAGACAAAAAGAAGGGUAGUCAUCACCAUCGUAGACAUAAGACUCGGCAAAGAGCAGAUGGGCCUCCAAAUGUGAUUUCACAAACUCCAGUUAUCCCAGAUUUCCUCUUGUAACAUUAAAAGUUGAACUGGGGUUUACAAAAUGAAACAUUUGAGGGCAUUUUGUUGAAGGUUGUAUGGUGGAUUGGACAGGAUUGAUAAGAUCCCAGAACUUUUCCAAGUCGACAAGGGUGGUCAGCAAGUGCUAUUUGGCUGAUUUUGACACUUUAUUGACAGUAUAUGCAUAAUGCAUUCCAAAGGAUGAGAGGGGUGGACUUGGGAAUAACCACAUUGGACAAGCAAGCCAGUGCUCUGCUCCAACUCCAGCAAGGUUUGGACCGACCAUUGACCGGUCAUCAACUCUAUCUCUGGCAUGGUCUUCUUCUUCUUCAAGCCCUGGUUUUGAGAGAAAGAGAGAGUGUGGACCUUUCUUCAAGUUCAAGCCCUUUCUGCAUAUCCUUUUACUGGUGUUCACUGCUCGUGCUGCUGCGGUAAGGUUAGAGAGGUGAAAAUUCAAAAGAAGUAUUCAUGGCAGAUGAGGUCACCAAAAGAUGGGUAUUUGAGUUGGUAUCUUCAAGCCUGAAUCAGGAGGCCAGGAGGUUUCUGAUUAGGUCUACUUGAGUCUCUUGCCAUCAAGUGAGGGUUACUACUGAAAUCUUUUGAAGGCAUUUGAGUCUACAUUUUUCAUCUAAAGUCAAUAGAUAGAUUGAGUUUUGUUCACUUGGUUAGGUGGUUUUGGGGAUUGACAAAAAAGGCAUUUUCUUGUUGGUUAUUGAAUUUCAUGGAUUUGUUUUCAGCUAGUUUGUAUGUUAGAAGUGAAUGAAUUAACAGGGUGGAAUGUUUCCAUGAUAUUUGCGAAAUGGCAAAGAGACCACUUGAAUGUUAGGGGGCUCAUCUUUGGACCCUAGUUCACAAUUUUGUAUAAAGCUGAUUUUUGUGGAUUUAA